rnacentral:lncRNA from 1 species
AACAUCCCAAUUUUCAAAACCCUUCAUAUGCAUUGCAUUUCAUAAGCAUCAUGCCACCCUUGCAUUUAAUCACAUUUAAAAUCCUAAAAUUUAACCCAGAAACCCCUUUAACAAAAGUGCUUUUAUUUGAAUCUGACUCUUUUCUUGCUUUUGGUUAAUUGCAUUUUGACCCAUGAGUGUUUUGGCAUAAAAAAUGGUUUAAUGCAUUUAUAAAGCUAUCCCAUAAUUUGGCUUUUGUAUUUGUUUUGAAAAAACUAAUUAUUUUGAUAGUUAACAGGCCAUAAAGGCUAGUUUAUAGGCAAAAGUAUUUUAAAUAUUUUAUUUUGAGGGAAUUCUUGUCCCAAAAGUUGAAUCAUAUGAAAAUAUGAUUUUACAAAUUUUGUUGCAUUUUAUUUGGUUUGAAUUGGAGCUUUGAAUCAAAUUUGGUAUCCAAAAACAGAAAAUAGAAAAAAGAAAAAGGAAAGAAGAAAAAAAAAGAGAAACCGUGGCCGGCCCGGCCAAAUGGGCCGAACCGGCCCACUUACCUGCUGCGCGGCCCGGCCGACCGACCGAGCCUGCCCAACAGACCGAACCAGCCCGCUCGCGAACCGCCUUCAGCCGCUGACAGGUGGGGCCCCCUUGUCAGUAUCGUUUUCAACCGCCGGCCGCUUCUUCCGCGCGCAACAGUCCGCGUCGCCCAUGACUCCCAACCCGACUCCGCGUCGCCCACGACCCCCUUUCUCCGCAUUGAGCGCGUCUCUAUAAAGCCUCCCCCACCC